AUUAAUUUGGAUUUAAACUCCAUUCCUCAAUUCCCUACACAAAUUAGAAAGCCUUCCUAUUCAUUUGGGCCCAAUUUUCCCUCUCUUCCUUCGGCCCAGACCGGCCCAAGUCGGCCCAGCACCUCCAACUCAAGCCGACUCCCUGCUCCUCCUCCCGUGGGCGCUUCCAGGCGCCGCCACCGUGCGCCAUUACUGCCGCCGUGCACGACUCAGCUACCGUCGCCUCCAUCUUGCCGUCGACGCGAAGGAACCGCCACCCGGCGUCAGCUACACUUCAUUCCGCCGACGUCAGCAACAGGGAUGAACCGCCAUCGUCGGCCAAUCAGAGGACAGAGCCGGCGCCGUCAUUCUUUCCUCCACGUCGCUGCAGCCGUGUCCUCAUCGUCCUUCUCCUCUGAACCGCCAUCAGCCACCGCCUCUCGCCGCCUAUAAAUAUAAGGCGAGCCCUCCCCUUUUCUCCACACAUCAACAGAGCCUCGAGCUCCCUUUCUCUCUCUCCAUCCAUGGUCGAUCGUCGACGCCGUCGGUCGAUCUCCCCAUCCGUAGCUCCACCUCCCCUAUCCUCGCGCCACCGGCUUCGCCUCCAUCCGGCGAGUCCUUUUUUCCCCUUUCCCCUUUCCCUCCACCUCUAAGUCAAGCCACCACCGCCAUCAUCCAUGCCGGCUCGAGGUGAGCCCUUGCCGCCGCCGUUCCGGCUAUAUAUCUCUCCCUCUUGGCCAUCCACCGACCUUCCCAAGUGCGCGUCGCUCGGGAACACGCGUGGCCGCCGCCUUCGAGGCCGUUCAUCCACCGGAGCAUCGGCGCCCCUCCUCUUCCUUCUCUCUGGAAGAGAAGAAAAAGCAGAAGGAAGGAAGGAGGAAGAAGAAAGAGAAAAGAAGAAGAGACAAAGAACUGACAGCCACUAAAAAGCCGCCGGUUGAAACUUUACGCCUUCCAUGGGGACGUUCGGGGUUUUCUAUCCCCGACGUCAAACCGUUGGUUGUAAAGCCCGGUAUAAACCAAACCUAAGGUCGAAGUGCUGCUCCUGGCACCCCACGCCUUGAUGCGUAUAGCGGUCGGAGCUUCACUAUUCCAUUGACCUCCACAGCACGCCGCACAGUUAGCUCAUGUCGUCAACAUCUUGAACCAGACUAAGACUAUGAUCGCUGCCUCGGUUCCGGCCAACUCCGCAAGUACCCGCACCCCGACUGGUAGCCGAGUACCUCCUCUUCGAUCUCAAGAUUAUCACCAGCCAAGCCUCAGCGUCGCCGGUGCCGGACCUAGUCGCAGGAGCAGGGGACAUGGUGAGCGAUCUGUCCGCUCGCCUCCCGAACGACAUAGGGAGCGUCGAGUUGAACGACCACACUCCCCACAUCGAAGGCGCCCCGUCGAUCUUCGCGACACCAUCAACCAGCGCCGCGCAGCAAGAGGCCAUACUCCCCAUCAUUCACCAGAUCGCUACGACGACGAUAUGGACGGAGUUGCUGCCUUCACAAAUGAUCUGCAUCGAGUGGAUUGGCCAGCCGGCUUUAAGCCGACUGGAAUCGAGAAGUAUGACGGCACCACCAACCCUGAGUCUUGGCUCACCGUCUAUGGUCUCGCAAUCCGCGCAGCAGGAGGAGACAGCAAAGCCAUGUCGAAUUAUCUGCCUGUGGCCUUAGCGGAUUCUGCCCGGUUGUCACAUCCUGAUUUUCGUUUCAGGAUUUAUAAAUUAUUUAAUAAAUUAUUAUUAGAAUUUAUAUUAAA